rnacentral:tRNA from 1 species
UGGUUCAGUGGUAGAAUCCUUGUCUACCAACAGGAGACCUGGGUUCAAUUCCCAG